ACCGGGAGAUAGCUGGUUCUCCCCGAAAGCUAUUUAGGUAGCGCCUCGUGAAUUCAUCUCCGGGGGUAGAGCACUGUUUCGGCAAGGGGGUCAUCCCGACUUACCAACCCGAUGCAAACUGCGAAUACCGGAGAAUGUUAUCACGGGAGACACACGGCGGGUGCUAACGUCCGUCGUGAAGAGGGAAACAACCCAGACCGCCAGCUAAGGUCCCAAAGUCAUGGUUAAGUGGGAAACGAUGUGGGAAGGCCCAGACAGCCAGGAUGUUGGCUUAGAAGCAGCCAUCAUUUAAAGAAAGCGUAAUAGCUCACUGGUCGAGUCGGCCUGCGCGGAAGAUGUAACGGGGCUAAACCAUGCACCGAAGCUGCGGCAGCGACGCUUAUGCGUUGUUGGGUAGGGGAGCGUUCUGUAAGCCUGCGAAGGUGUGCUGUGAGGCAUGCUGGAGGUAUCAGAAGUGCGAAUGCUGACAUAAGUAACGAUAAAGCGGGUGAAAAGCCCGCUCGCCGGAAGACCAAGGGUUCCUGUCCAACGUUAAUCGGGGCAGGGUGAGUCGACCCCUAAGGCGAGGCCGAAAGGCGUAGUCGAUGGGAAACAGGUUAAUAUUCCUGUACUUGGUGUUACUGCGAAGGGGGGACGGAGAAGGCUAUGUUGGCCGGGCGACGGUUGUCCCGGUUUAAGCGUGUAGGCUGGUUUUCCAGGCAAAUCCGGAAAAUCAAGGCUGAGGCGUGAUGACGAGGCACUACGGUGCUGAAGCAACAAAUGCCCUGCUUCCAGGAAAAGCCUCUAAGCAUCAGGUAACAUCAAAUCGUACCCCAAACCGACACAGGUGGUCAGGUAGAGAAUACCAAGGCGCUUGAGAGAACUCGGGUGAAGGAACUAGGCAAAAUGGUGCCGUAACUUCGGGAGAAGG
rnacentral:rRNA from 1 species